CCCCUCUCAGGGUCACACCUGGAGAGUUUCCAGUACUCUACCAGUCUUGACUACGGGAGGGAGUGUCAAGCUGAGGCAUACCCAUUCCAUUCCUAGGUUGGCCAGUGGCUAGCGAGUGGACGGCAAUCUGCUACAAGU